CAUUGAGGGGAAUUGAGCUUAGAAUUUGGUCAAUUGGUCCCAAGAACAGUUGCUGCUGCAUAAAGGUGCUUUCUUAAUAUUGACAUGUAAUAAUGACUUGUUAUCACACUCGACAUACUAAUAGUCUAAUACAUUCUUGUCAUUGUGAAGUUUGGUCCUCAUAGUUUCAGCUCCUGACAGCUACUGUAAUGGUAUUGAAUUUGCUUCUAAUAUGAAUAUAAUACCCAGGCAAUUUGUUGUGCAUGUGAUAGAUAAUUCCAAGGAAUACUCAUCAUUUGCAUUAAUUUAUCCACCCUAAUUUGGGCUAUUAUCAACCAAUAUACCUUUGGGCAAUCUUUAUUCUAUUUUAUUUAGUCAUAUUUAUCAUUUGGGUAGAAGGAAUAUGAUUGAUUGUUUGAGAAUUAUUGUCAAAAUACCUCUUUUUAGACAGAUUCUUCCCUGAAGGUGUACUACAACCAUCAGCUAACAAACUUGUGGAACUGAUGCCAUUUCUCUUAGCCAUAAUGUAUAGAUAUAUGUAUUUUUCUACAAUGAUUGCAGUUGGAAGGUGUGGUAACCUUCUUUGGCCGGGUUGCAAUACUGAUAGACCAGAAUACACAAGCAUUCCACAUGUUCAUUACUGCUCUUCUUCAGGUUUUCGAUGAAGAUGUUGGGCAAGACAAACAAUUGGGCAUAGCAAAAUUAAAGCUGAUUGAGCUGGAAGCUAAAACUCCAAAAGAGGUUGAAGUGAGACUCUUUCCAUCACUUGAUAUGCUUAAAAUAAAAAGAUAAGAAGGAUAGAGGAACUCUUACUGUUAAGGUGUUGUAUCAUCAAUUUAAUACAGGAGCAAUUGGCCGCCUUAGAAGCUGAAAAGAUGAUCCUAGAAGAGAGAAAGAAACUGAAAGCAGCAGGAGAUGAUCCUAGAAGAGAGAAAGAAACUCAAAGCAGCAGGAGUUAUAGGAAUUGGAUGAUUCAGGUAUAUAAUCAUCAUUUUGGUGAAGAUGAUUGAUGACUUGAUGAAGCUGAAGAGAGCUGUGGAUGAAGUUAUUUUCAGAGAAUUUGGAGAGCACACUGAAUAUUGUUAUUUUUUUGAUUUUGUAUUGUCAUAUUGUAUUUAAAGGGGUUUUAUUUAUUUAUUUAUUUUAUGGGA